rnacentral:rRNA from 1 species
AGUGAACGCUGGCGGUAGGCCUAACACAUGCAAGUCGAACGGCAGCACAGUAAGAGCUUGCUCUUACGGGUGGCGAGUGGCGGACGGGUGAGGAAUACAUCGGAAUCUACUUUUUCGUGGGGGAUAACGUAGGGAAACUUACGCUAAUACCGCAUACGACCUACGGGUGAAAGCAGGGGAUCUUCGGACCUUGCGCGAUUGAAUGAGCCGAUGUCGGAUUAGCUAGUUGGCGGGGUAAAGGCCCACCAAGGCGACGAUCCGUAGCUGGUCUGAGAGGAUGAUCAGCCACACUGGAACGGAGACACGGUCCAUACUCCUACGGGAGGCAGCAGUGUGGAAUAUUGGACAAUGGUCGCAAGCCUGAUCCAGCCAUACCGCGUGGGUGAAGAAGGCCUUCGGGUUGUAAAGCCCUUUUGUUGGGAAAGAAAAGCAGCAGGUUAAGACCCCGCUGUUCUGACGGUACCCAAAGAAUAAGCACCGGCUAACUUCGUG